UACGUAGGGUGCAAGCGUUGUCCGGAAUUAUUGGGCGUAAAGAGCUCGUAGGCGGUCUGUCGCGUCGGCUGUGAAAACCCGAGGCUCAACCUCGGGCCUGCAGUCGAUACGGGCAAACUAGAGUACUGCAGGGGAGACUGGAAUUCCUGGUGUAGCGGUGAAAUGCGCAGAGUAUCAGGAGGAACACCGGUGGCGAAGGCGGGUCUCUGGGCAGUAACUGACGCUGGAGGAGCGAAAGCCGUGGGGAGCGAACAGGA
rnacentral:rRNA from 1 species